CACGUAGGGCGCAAGCGUUGUCCGGAAUUAUUGGGCGUAAAGAGCUCGUAGGCGGUCUGUUGCGUCCGCUGUGAAAACUCGGGGCUUAACCCCGAGCCUGCAGUGGAUACGGGCAGACUAGAGGUAGGUAGGGGGAGAAUGGAAUUCCCGGUGUAGCGGUGAAAUGCGCAGAUAUCGGGAGGAACACCGGUGGCGAAGGCGGUUCUCUGGGCCUACCUGACGCUGAG
rnacentral:rRNA from 1 species